GAUGAAGAACGUAGCGAAAUGCGAUAAGUAAUGCGAAUUGCAGAAUUCAGUGAGUCAUCGAAUCUUUGAACGCACAUUGCGCCCUGUGGUAUUCCGCAGGGCAUGCCUGUUCGAGCGUCAUUUCAACCCUCAAGCCCCGCUUGGUGUUGGGCCCCGCCCGCUGUGGCCGGCCCUAAAGACAGUGGCGGCGCCGCCUGGCCCUCAUCGUAGUACAUCUCUCGCUCCAGGGUCCGGUGGCCGCCUGCCAGAACCCCCCAACUCUGUGGUUGACCUCGGAUCAGGUAGGGAUACCCGCUGAACUUAAGCAUAUCAAUAAGCGGAGGA
rnacentral:misc_RNA from 1 species